rnacentral:tRNA from 2 species
CAUUAGAUAACUUAAAUGUAAGUAUAGGUCUCUUAAACCAUAACAUAAUAAUUAACAAAUAUUUCUAAUGA